rnacentral:tRNA from 1 species
GGAGACGUGGCCGAGUGGUCGAAGGCACUCCCCUGCUAAGGGAGCAUCUGGGCAAACCCGGAUCGAGGGUUCGAAUCCCUCCGUCUCCGCCA